rnacentral:lncRNA from 1 species
UGUCACUGUCAGUUUACCUGGCAGUUACAGAAAACCUUCACUGAUUCCCUUGAGCCCCCUGAAUCUGCAAAUAGAUGUGGAGACAGAGGUUCUUUCUGAGCAGUGAUCUCAAACAGCCUCCUCUGGAAAUUACUGAUUGUUCCUAUGGCUAUGGUUUAAUUUGACUUGGGAUAGUUUAUAUGUUUAUAUGAUGCUGAUGUAUAUACUCAGUAAGAUAAAACAAUUCUAUAAGUUCUAGACUGGUCUUAUGUUCAUGAGAACAUAAUUGAUAUUGUUUACUUUGCUCUGAAGGCAGAGACAGGAAGUCCUGUUUACUGACCUGCAGGCACUAACAGGACUCGUAAGAGUUAAGGGAAAAAAAUAGUGACAAGAACUACUAAGGUUUAUGGAGGAGCACUCCUCUUCUGGGGGGUCCAUUAGCCCAUCAGACAGCCUCUACUCUGCCAGCAGCUCACAGCCAACAGAUGGAUCCUCAGAUGGAUCAGAAUCAGCCCAGAUUCUCAACAUUGACUGCCUGAGUUUUUACUGAAACACGACCUGCUGGCUCUCAACAGCUUUUUGUUUGAUCAAGGCAGCUAGACAACCAGAACCAUGGUGAAAUCCUUGUGAAAUCCAUGUGUUCCAUGCCAUGUCGGAAGCAACUGUUGUCGUGUGGAAUCCCAAAGGAGCAGAAAUAGAAGGGUUUCCCUCAGGCAGAGAAGAUAAAUGGGUACUAUGCUCACUUUGUGUUUAAAGCUGCAGUGAGUAUGUAACUUUCUGUACUGAGGGGAAUGUUACAGCUGCUUGACAGAUUCACACAGUGAGAAAGUGGAAAUGUAAGGAGAAAAUGUGCUAUUUGCAUUUCUAAGUAAAAUGUCCAUUGAGAGCCUGAACACAAAUAUGGAUCAAUAGGAAGACUUCUACCCUGUCCCAUGGGUUUUGCAUGACAUUCUAGACCUAAUUUACUCCCCUAAGGUUGGGAUGCAUUCCCCAGAGGAAAGGAUAUGAUUUAAGUGUAUUUAGGCAAGGAGUAAAGGUAAUAGUGAGGAUAACAGCUAUGAGAAGGAAGAACAUGUGCCGGAUAUGUCUUAAAAAGAAAAAGAAAAAGACAUCAGUCAAUGUUGUUCAUCAACAAAAGUAAGGACAGGAAAUUAAUCUG